rnacentral:pre_miRNA from 1 species
GGGGGGAACGCCAGAUCUUGGGCUGUGUCCCCCAGCGCCCUGGGCUCCGGGGCUUGCACCGCUGAAAUCGCGCUCCCGGGGCCGCGCAGCCCUCU